rnacentral:rRNA from 1 species
GACGAACCGUCCAAACGUUAUUCGGAAUCACUGGGCUUACAGAGUUCGUAGGCGGUCUGGAAAGUUGGGUGUGAAAUCCCUCGGCUCAACCGAGGAACUGCGCUUGAAACUACCAGACUCGAGGGAGAUAGAGGAAAGCGGAACUGAUGGUGGAGCGGUGAAAUGCGUAGAGAUCGGAAAGAACACCAACGGCGAAAGCACUCUGCUGGGCCGACACUGACACUGAGAGACGAAAGCUAGGGGAGCGAAUGGG